UACGUAGGCAGCGAGCGUUGUUCGGAGUUACUGGGCGUAAAGAGUGCGUAGGUGGUGCCCUAAGUCUGUUGUGAAAUCUCCCGGCUUAACUGGGAGGGUGCGGUGGAAACUGGGGUGCUUGAGUGUGGGAGAGGUAAGCGGAAUUCCUGGUGUAGCGGUGAAAUGCGUAGAUAUCAGGAGGAACACCGGUGGUGUAGACGGCUUACUGGACCACGACUGACACUGAGGCACGAAAGCGUGGGUAGCAAACAGG
rnacentral:rRNA from 1 species